AGUCAUUGGGUGGCUCUAAACCUAAAGGCGCAAUGAAAGUGAAGGCCCCCCGCCGGGGGCCGAGGGAAGAUGGUACCGCGCGUACGUCCGAGGCGCCCCCCGCGAGGGGGGUUACCGAGGCGCCGCGGCCCGCAUUCCCGGGGCGUCUCGUUCUCACUGCGAGAUGAGGCGCACCCAGAGCGCACACGUUGGGACCCGAAAGAUGGUGAACUAUGCCUGGCCAGGACGAAGUCAGGGGAAACCCUGAUGGAGGUCCGUAGCGAUUCUGACGUGCAAAUCGAUCGUCGGAGCUGGGUAUAGGGGCGAAAGACUAAUCGAACCAUCUAGUAGCUGGUUCCCUCCGAAGUUUCCCUCAGGAUAGCUGGCGCUCAGGAGAUACACUUGUGUAGUCUCAUACGGUAAAGCGAAUGAUUAGAGGCCUUGGGGCCGAAACGACCUCAACCUAUUCUCAAACUUUAAAUGGGUGAGAUCUCCGGCUUGCUCGAUAGCUUGAAGCCGGAGACGGAUCGGAGCGCCAAGUGGGCCACUUUUGGUAAGCAGAACUGGCGCUGUGGGAUGAA
rnacentral:rRNA from 1 species